rnacentral:rRNA from 1 species
AGAGUUUGAUCAUGGCUCAGAACGUACGCUGGCGGCACGCCUAACACAUGCAAGUCGAACGAAGUAGCAAUACUUAGUGGCAGACGGGUGAGUAACAUGUAGGUAUCUGCCCUUUGGCCUGGAAUAACACGAGGAAACUUGUGCUAAUACCGGAUAAGUCUUUACGGAGAAAGCUUUAUGCACCAUUGGAUGAGCCUGCACUUGAUUAGUUUGUUGGUGGGGUAAUGGCCUACCAAGACUGUGAUCAAUAGCUGAUUUGAGAGGAUGAUCAGCCACAUUGGGACUGAGACACGGCCCAAACUCCUACGGGAGGCAGCAGUGGGGAAUCUUGCACAAUGGAGGAAACUCUGAUGCAGCGAUGCCGCGUGAGUGAAGAAGGCCUUUGGGUUGUAAAGCUCUUUCGUCGGGGAAGAAAAUGACUGUACCCGAAUAAGAAGGUCUGGCUAACUUCGUGCCAGCAGCCGCGGUAAUACGAAGGGACCUAGCGUAGUUCGGAAUUACUGGGCUUAAAGAGUUCGUAGGUGGUUGAAAAAGUUGGUGGUGAAAUCCCAGAGCUUAACUCUGGAACUGCCAUCAAAACUUUUCAGCUAGAGUAUGAUAGAGGAAAGCAGAAUUUCUAGUGUAGAGGUGAAAUUCGUAGAUAUUAGAAAGAAUACCAAUUGCGAAGGCAGCUUUCUGGAUCAUUACUGACACUGAGGAACGAAAGCAUGGGUAGCGAAGAGGAUUAGAUACCCUCGUAGUCCAUGCCGUAAACGAUGUGUGUUAGACGUUGGAAAUUUAUUUUCAGUGUCGCAGCGAAAGCGAUAAACACACCGCCUGGGGAGUACGACCGCAAGGUUAAAACUCAAAUGAAUUGACGGGGACCCGCACAAGUAGUGGAGCAUGUGGUUUAAUUCGAAGAUACGCGCAGAACCUUACCAACACUUGACAUGUUCGUCGCGACUUUAAGAGAUUAAAGUUUUCGGUUCGGCCGGACGAAACACAGGUGCUGCAUGGCUGUCGUCAGCUCGUGUCGUGAGAUGUUGGGUUAAGUCCCGCAACGAGCGCAACCCUCACUUUUAGUUGCCAUCAUUAAGUUGGGCACUCUGAAAGAACUGCCAGUGAUAAGCUGGAGGAAGGUGGGGAUGACGUCAAGUCCUCAUGGCCCUUACGUGUUGGGCUACACACGUGCUACAAUGGUAUCUACAACAGGAAGCAAAACUGCGAGGUUAAGCAAAUCCUUAAAAGAUACCUCAGUUCGGAUUGCACUCUGCAACUCGAGUGCAUGAAGCUGGAAUUACUAGUAAUCGUGGAUCAGCGUGCCACGGUGAAUGCGUUCCCGGGUCUUGUACACACCGCCCGUCACACCAUGGGAGUUGGUUCUACCUUAAGGCAAGGUUUUAAACCCUUGACCACGGUAUAGUCAGCGACUGGGGUGAAGUCAUAACAAGGUAACCGUA